rnacentral:rRNA from 1 species
UCAGCCGCCGCGGUAAUACGUAGGAUCCGAGCGUUGUCCGGAAUUACUGGGUGUAAAGGGCGUGUAGGUGGAUUCCUAAGUCGGUGGUGAAAUCUUGCAGCUCAACUGCAAAACUGCCGUCGAUACUGGGGAUCUUGAGUACGGCAGAGGGAGAUGGAAUUCAUGGUGUAGCGGUGAAAUGUGUAGAUAUCAUGAAGAACACCGGUAGCGAAGGCGGUCUCCUGGUCCGUAACUGACACUGAGGCGCGAAAGCGUGGGGAGCAAACAGGAUUAGAUACCCUGGUAGUCCACGCCUUAAACGAUGGGUACUCGGUGCUGGGCCGUAAGGUUCAGUGCCAAAGCUAACGCAUUAAGUACCCCACCUGGGGAGUACGAUCGCAAGGUUGAAACUCAAAGGAAUUGACGGGGGCCCGCACAAGG